rnacentral:pre_miRNA from 1 species
UGGAGUAGGACUGGGAAGAGCAGUAUGAUACAAGUAUGUAUCAUUCCAGUGAGCAUGUAGCUCCAGUGAGAGAGAGCAAGAGCUUGAGUGAAGCUCACAGAAACCAAAGCCUGUUGCAGAAGUGGUGCAAGAAGCAGGAUAAGUUCAUCACCAAGUGCCUGAAGAGUAUCAAGUCUCUAAAGGCCAUGGUUAGCUGCUCCUCUUCCAGCACAACAAUGCCA